rnacentral:lncRNA from 1 species
AACAGCUACAUUUGGGGAGUGGUGAAAAGGGGUCAGAGAAAGAGAAGCAGGAGAGGACAUGGGCAGGAAGUGUAAAAUGCAGACUGACUUAAUAUGAGGUGCACAGCAUGGGUGAGAACGCAAGACACUUUGAUAGGAGAAAUGAAGGUGAGAGCAAGCCCUGGAGGUUCACUCUUUCAAGAAGUCGUGUGCUGAGGUGUAAUGCUACACAAGUCAGAGGAAGGAAGGGUCCUGAAACACAUGGCCUGAUUGUUGGCAAAGGCAUCAUAAGAAGCUGGCAUUUAUUUCUGUUCUAACCUAUUACUGUAUAACUGUGAAUAGACACUAUGCAUAUUUGUUGGUCAGCAAAACCAAGAAACAAGAGCUAUGGCAUUUGAAAAAGUCUGUCUGAUUCCAGGGUGUUUUUCCUGGGUUUCAUCAUCAGGUACCUCCUCCCUUUCAUCUCAGCAAGAAUGUGGCACCUUUUAUCGUUUGAUAAAGAUUAAGGACAUGUUCUUUGGUCAACAGCCAGAACUUAAAAUCUGCUGGAAUAGGGUCAGAGACCAUUUCAGCUGCAGCUGAG